rnacentral:tRNA from 1 species
UGUACAGGGAUGGGAAACGAACCCACAAUGUUCCGCUUGCCGGGCAGAUGCCAUGUCCAUUAGUCUACCCUAUAC